UGGGGAAUUUUGGACAAUGGGGGCAACCCUGAUCCAGCCAUGCCGCGUGAGUGAAGAAGGCCUUCGGGUUGUAAAGCUCUUUCGGCCGGGAAAAAAUCGCAGGGGCUAAUACCCUCUGUGGAUGAUGGUACCGGACUAAGAAGCACCGGCUAACUACGUGCCAGCAGCCGCGGUAAUACGUAGGGUGCGAGCGUUAAUCGGAAUUACUGGGCGUAAAGCGUGCGCAGGCGGUUUUUUAAGACAGGCGUGAAAUCCCCGGGCUUAACCUGGGAACUGCGCUUGUGACUGGAAGGCUAGAGUACGGCAGAGGGGGGUGGAAUUCCACGUGUAGCAGUGAAAUGCGUAGAGAUGUGGAGGAACACCGAUGGCGAAGGCAGCCCCCUGGGCCGAUACUGACGCUCAUGCACGAAAGCGUGGGGAGCAAACA
rnacentral:rRNA from 1 species